AAUAAUAAUAAUUACAUGUUUUACCAGGGUAAGCUCGUCAGCAAACAGCUGUUAUCGAGGAGCGCCCUGGGGGCAACAAAAAUUAUCAACAAAAUAAUAAGAUAAUUAAAUAUAUAUAUACUGUAAAAUACUAAAAUGUUAGUAAAAAUCAAUACAAUUCAUUAAAACAUUUAAAAAAUAUCUUUGAGAUURGACUUAAAUAAUAAUAAAGAAUUAAUCUCUUUUUAAUUAAUUAUAUUAAUUAAUUUAAUUAUAUCGUCAUACUAAAUCUCCGACGUGACCGAUGCAGACGAACAAAGGAAACCUCAGUACGUCAAUGAAUAUCAUAUGUGAAAACGGCUUAUGCUAUAAUAGUUGCGGAUAGUUUGGUUGAGUCUGACCUGAUGAACUCUGUUUUUAUGAACCUGGACCGACAACCACCAUCACCACAGGUCAGCGGUAAUCUGCGACAAGAGAGCAAACAUGGCGGACGGACAAGAUGCAUGGAAGGUUGAUGAUAACCUUGCAGAUCUACACAGCCGCUACAGAGUACUCCAGAGAGAGUUUCAGGAAUUAGAAGUGAUUAACUCAGAGCUUGAGUACAUCAAGAAGAAUAGAAUUUAUGUCAAAAGAGGAGGAAAUCUCUUUUUCCUUGAUUCAAAUCACCAAAAAACAAAAACUGAAUAUAAAAG